rnacentral:rRNA from 1 species
UACGUAGGGCGCAAGCGUUGUCCGGAAUUAUUGGGCGUAAAGAGCGUGUAGGCGGCCUGAAAGGUCAGCUGUAAAAACUCGGGGCUCAACCCUGAGACGUCGGUUGAAACCAUCUGGCUAGAGUCCGGAAGAAGAGUGUGGAAUUCCCGGUGUAGCGGUGAAAUGCGCAGAUAUCGGGAAGAACACCCGUGGCGAAGGCGGCACUCUGGGACGGUACUGACGCUGAGACGCGAAAGCGUGGGGAGCGAACAGG